CACGUAGGGUGCGAGCGUUGUCCGGAAUUAUUGGGCGUAAAGAGCUCGUAGGCGGUGUGUCGCGUCGGCCGUGAAAACCUGCAGCUUAACUGUGGGCUUGCGGUCGAUACGGGCAUCACUGGAGUUCGGCAGGGGAGACUGGAAUUCCUGGUGUAGCGGUGAAAUGCGCAGAUAUCAGGAGGAACACCGGUGGCGAAGGCGGGUCUCUGGGCCGAGUACUGACGCUGAGGAGCGAAAGCGUGGGGAGCGAACAGG
rnacentral:rRNA from 1 species